rnacentral:rRNA from 1 species
GACGAACGCUGGCGGCGUGCUUAACACAUGCAAGUCGAACGGAAAGGCCCUGCUUUUGUGUGGUGCUCGCGUGGCGAGCGUGUGAGUAACCCGUGAGUCACCUUCCCUUUACUUUGGGAUGACUUCAAGAAACUGCUGCUAAUACCUGAUAGGAGCUCCUGCUGCUUGGUGGGGUUUGGACCGUUUCGGCGGUUGGGGAUGUACUCGCGGCUUAUCAGCUUGUUGGUGGGGUAGUGGCUUACCAAGGCUUUGAAGGGUAGCCUGCCUGAGAGGUUGACCGGCCACAUUGGGACUGAGAUACGGCCCAGACUCCUACGGGAGGCAGCAGGGGGGAAUAUGGCACAAUGGGCGGAAGCCUGAGGCAGCAACGCCGCGUGCGGGAUGAAGGCCUUCGGGUUGGAAACCGCUGUCGCCUGUGACGAAGCGUGAGUGACGGUAAUGGGUAAAGAAGCACCGGCUAACUACGUG